rnacentral:sRNA from 2 species
GCCACGCCGUAAAACACCCAACUCUUCUGAAGUUGACCUCGAAUCAGGUAGGAAUACCCGCUGAACUUAAGCAUAUCAAUAAGCGGAGGAAAAGAAACCAACAGGGAUUGCCCCAGUAACGGCGAGUGAAGCGGCAACAGCUCAAAUUUGAAAUCUGGCUCUCGGGCCCGAGUUGUAAUUUGUAGAGGAUGCUUUUGGUGAGGUGCCUUCCGAGUUCCCUGGAACGGGACGCCAUAGAGGGUGAGAGCCCCGUCUGGUUGGACGCCGAACCUCUGUAAAGCUCCUUCGACGAGUCGAGUAGUUUGGGAAUGCUGCUCUAAAUGGGAGGUAUAUGUCUUCUAAAGCUAAAUACCGGCCAGAGACCGAUAGCGCACAAGUAGAGUGAUCGAAAGAUGAAAAGAACUUUGAAAAGAGAGUUAAACAGUACGUGAAAUUGUUGAAAGGGAAGCGCUUGUGACCAGACUUGGGCUUGGUUGAUCAUCCGGGGUUCUCCCCGGUGCACUCUUCCGGCCCAGGCCAGCAUCAGUUCGCCCUGGGGGACAAAGGCUUCGGGAACGUGGCUCUCUCCGGGGAGUGUUAUAGCCCGUUGCGUAAUACCCUGUGGCGGACUGAGGUUCGCGCAUUCGCAAGGAUGCUGGCGUAAUGGUCAUCAGUGACCCGUCUUGAAACACGGACCAAGGAGUCGUCUUCGUAUGCGAGUGUUCGGGUGUCAAACCCCUACGCGAAAUGAAAGUGAACGCAGGUGAGAGCUUCGGCGCAUCAUCGACCGAUCCUGAUGUUAUCGGAUGGAUUUGAGUAAGAGCAUACGGGGCCGGACCCGAAAGAAGGUGAACUAUGCCUGUGUAGGGUGAAGCCAGAGGAAACUCUGGUGGAGGCUCGCAGCGGUUCUGACGUGCAAAUCGAUCGUCAAACAUGGGCAUGGGGGCGAAAGACUAAUCGACUU